rnacentral:rRNA from 1 species
UCGCUGUGUGUUAUAUGUGUCACACGGGACUGCCGGUCUUAAGCGAGGAAGUGGGGAUGAUGUCAAGUCAGCAUGGCCUUUAUAUCCUGGGCUACACACACGCUACAAUGGCCAACACAAUAGGUUGCUAAGCCGCGAGGUGGCGCCAAUCCAUAAAGUUGGUCUCAGUUCAGAUUGUAGGCUGCAACCCGCCUGCAUGAAGAUGGAGUUGCUAGUAACCGCAGGUCAGCUAUACUGCGGUGAAUACGUUCCCGGGGCUU